UUGAACGCUGGCGGCAUGCUUUACACAUGCAAGUCGAACGGCAGCGGGGGCUUCGGCCUGCCGGCGAGUGGCGAACGGGUGAGUAAUGCAUCGGAACGUACCCAGUCGUGGGGGAUAACUACGCGAAAGCGUAGCUAAUACCGCAUAAGUCCUGAGGGAGAAAGCGGGGGACCGUAAGGCCUCGCGCGAUUGGAGCGGCCGAUGUUCGAUUAGCUAGUUGGUGGGGUAAAGGCCUACCAAGGCGACGAUCCGUAGCUGGUCUGAGAGGAUGAUCAGCCACACUGGGACUGAGACACGGCCCAGACUCCUACGGGAGGCAGCAGUGGGGAAUUUUGGACAAUGGGCGCAAGCCUGAUCCAGCCAUGCCGCGUGAGUGAAGAAGGCCUUCGGGUUGUAAAGCUCUUUCAGACGGAAAGAAAUCGGGCGCGUGAAUAGCGUGCCUGGAUGACGGUACUGUCAGAAGAAGCACCGGCUAACUACGU
rnacentral:rRNA from 1 species